CAGACGAGGAGCUUGCUCCUUUGACGUUAGCGGCGGACGGGUGAGUAACACGUGGGUAACCUACCUAUAAGACUGGGAUAACUUCGGGAAACCGGAGCUAAUACCGGAUAAUAUUUCGAACCGCAUGGUUCGAUAGUGAAAGAUGGCUCUGCUAUCACUUAUAGAUGGACCUGCGCCGUAUUAGCUAGUUGGUAAGGUAACGGCUUACCAAGGCAACGAUACGUAGCCGACCUGAGAGGGUGAUCGGCCACACUGGAACUGAGACACGGUCCAGACUCCUACGGGAGGCAGCAGUAGGGAAUCUUCCGCAAUGGGCGAAAGCCUGACGGAGCAACGCCGCGUGAGUGAUGAAGGUCUUCGGAUCGUAAAACUCUGUUAUUAGGGAAGAACAAACGUGUAAGUACUGUGCACGUCUUGACGGU
rnacentral:rRNA from 1 species